GUAGUCAUUAACCCGUGUUGUCUUCCCAGCUUCCUCCUAUUUGUCUGUGGUGUCUCACUUUGAGCAAGUGGCCCCGGAGCUUGAGCAAUCAAAGGACCGUGAUGUCGAAGACCGCACUGGCUGACUCAACGCUGUCUGGGUCAGCGUCCUUAUUUAGUCCCUUCCUCUUCUUGGUUUCGGAUCCCAGCCCGCGUGUGUGUCCUUUGCACAAGGAACAGGUGGCCUUCCACGAUUCCACAGGAUGGCAGUCCACAGUGUUUGCUGUGAUUGGUCUCAUGACGCACAGUCCAUUUUUUAUGGCCCCAGAGAUCAGCGGGCACUUGAGUUUUGUAGACAGAAGUGAAAGGUCUCUGCCAAGAGUUGCCCACGCUCCUGGCGUUUCCUUCAGCCUGGUUGCCUUUUUAUUUGUGUCCCUAACAGAUGUCCUGGAUUUAAAGAACUUGUUCAUUUUUCAGGGGAACCACCGUGGACAAAGAAGAUACUUUAGAGUGAGCAUUGUGAGUUGGCACAAGAUAAAACUGGGAAGGUGACCCAGAUCCUAGCCCUGGCUGUCAGGCAGAGUGACCCUGGACCGGUCUGUAGCUCUUCCAUUGUAAAAGCAUUAAAACAACAGAAACAAUGCUGUGGGAUGAGUCUGACACCAAUCACACGACAGCACGUAAGCAUCCAGCAGAAACAGGCUCACUGUCUUGAACUACCUGGAUUUUAACCGAGAAGAGAAUGCAUCCUUAGGGCUAACAGAUGCUUUGGGCCCAACAUCAACCUCUGACACAAUUCAGAGAUUUAUGGAAAUAAGAUAUGAAAAAGAUACAUGAGACCCUCACAAUGAAAGUGUUACUGACAGCAUUCAGAACACAUUGGACUCCUAAUAGCAAAAUGGAAUGUUGAAAAAGUUUAGUUUUGUUGAAAGUUCAUGGAAGAAUGUAGUAGGUAUGCUUUAGGAUGUCUCUCAUCCACAGUACAUUUCCUUAGGAUCAUCCCUUACCAACAGACUCUCCUGAAGCCGAGGGCUUAGGUGACCACAUCUCUAUAGCCAUCACCCCCGCCACAGCUGAUGGAACCAGGGCGACGCCAGUGUCAGCUUGAUAGGGAAUACUGAACACAACCAGACCAAGAUGGUCUCUACGGAAACCAGAAAGCAAGGUCACAGAGGACGUGGGAUGCAAUUGUGUGUGGAAAGCCAAAGGCACGGCAAGCUGGAACUAGAGGGAAGGGGUGGACACAGCAGCGACAGCAAUAAUCGAGGCAGCUGACACUUAUGCUGUGUGUGCCAGCCACCUCUCUCUCUCAGGGUUCUCCAGAGAAAUAGAACCAAUAGGAUGUAAAUAUACAGAAAGAGCUUUGUUGCAAGAAAUUGGCUCACCUGAUUAUGGAGACUGAGAAAUCCCUCCAUCUGCCAUCUGCAAGUGGGAGGCCCAGGAAAGCUGGUGGGGUAGGUCCAG
rnacentral:lncRNA from 1 species